rnacentral:lncRNA from 1 species
AUUAGGUCACAAAGGCAGAGCCCUCAUGAAUGGGAUUAGUGCCUUUCUAAGAGAGCCCCUUGCCCCUUCUGUCAUGUGAGAUUACAGAGAAAAGGUGGCUGUCUGGGGAGCAGGCCCUCAGCAGAUGCAGAAAUGUGCCAGCACCGUGAUCUUGGACUUCCCAGCCUCCAGAACUAGGUGGCCUUUCUCAUGAUUUCUACAGCUUUCGAGUGUGGCAAGCAAUGUCCUGGUUUGCUUAUGUUUGUUCAAUGUUUAAAACCCAUCCCUCAGCCCUAAGAAAAGUGUAAAAGAAGGAUUCGUCCUCCCUUCCUUUGGAUGGCAACACUGCUUUCCUGAGCCUGAGCCCUGAAGGGGUCUUCGAAAAUGUGAUCCGUUGAGUGAGGAGUUCCAGCGGAACGUAGAUUCGCUUCGCAAGGAAGAAAGUUCCACUCGGCUCCCGAUGAAUUUAAUCUCUCAAUUUUCCUCCGUUGCUUGGACGUGCUAGAAUGAAACUCAGAUGAGAUGCUGUGAUAAAGAUCCUUCUUCGUUAGUCUCUCUCACAGCUGGGCUUCAUUUAUGUGCCCAUAAACCAGCUCAUCUUUGCAACACAGGAGCGACUCUGAGCUGGGAAACUGAGCUAAACCAAAAAACAGCAAGGUGGUGUUUUAUUCCAGAAGAAAGUUGUUUCUUUUUAAGUCGAGGCCAGCAAGCAUUGAUAACAAUUCCUGUGGAAGGUUUCAUCUCCCUCCUGAGGCAUUGCGAAGGUAGGAGUUGCAAAUGUUGGGAGCUGUAAUGCAAUUUCACUCAGCACUUGUUUACAUGUAUCAUUUUUAAAAGUAUGGGGCUCUGUCCUCCACAUCAUCUUCUUGAAUAACCUCACCACAUCUCUGAAGAACACGUAUAAAUCAAUUACCUUCCAAGUGGCCUGCCUCUGCAGAGGUGAGCCAUAUUCAUGAAAACAGUUUUCAUGGACUAAAAGCCUUUCUCUAUGAUGUGCCAGGAAAUAAUGCCACACUAUUGCCAGGAGAGGCUUCCAGAAACCAACAGCACCUGCGUCACAUUAAAAACUUUUGAGCCCAAGAAUUAGGUUGAGGCUUGUUUAAAGCCCAUUUUCUGUAUUAUGGCUCAAGGGGGAUUAUUUUGGUAACCUGAACUGCUCAAAUUUUCCUGCUUCAUCAAGAUUCUCAGAUUGCUUUGGAAGUAUGUGAAGUUUGUGAAAACGCAAAUUUCACUUGCAUUUAGACCUUUGCCUGAGAACUUUCCCCCCUGAAAUUCUGCGAUUCCAUGAGAAAUUCCAUAAUUACUAUCCGUGUAUAACCCAGGGUCUAGAAGUGCUUCAAUUCUAGGCUUUAUGUGGAAUCAACGGUCCAGAGAAGGACCUCAUGAGGGGGGUGAGUAAAUGGUGGCAGACACUGUUGGCUGCCUACCCAAGAGAGAUGGCCCUCUUCCUUCCAUGCUUUGUGUUUUAGGCCCCUCUGAAGAUGCAGAGGAUGGAUCUUCGUUAGAUUAAGCCAAUCGUAUGAUUCUGUCCCAUUUACCAGUGUUUGGUUUAAGGACAAGUAUGUGACCCAGCCGCAACCAGUAAAAUAUGAGGUUUCUCUUGAUACUAAAAAAGGCUCAAGGAAGAGACAUUCUCUCCCAUCCUUGGAUAUUGUUGUAUGAGGAGCAGCCUGGAACUGCUGAAAAUAUUUUGUGACCAUGAAGAGACAAAGAUGAAGAUAAGAUUCAUUUUGCUGAGGAAGGCAGAACAGAAAGACAGAAUGUACCCAGCUCCCUGAUCCGCCUUGUUGAAUCACUAAACAAACCGUCCCCAGUAUUGCCUUAGUCUAGACCUCCUAUUAUGUGAGCUAAUAAAUCCCUUUACUGUUUUAGUUGUUGGUUCUCAAUCUUGUUUGUAUGCCAGCCCAGAUGUCCUUUUAAAAGAGCUUCAGUUGAUUUGAAAGGAUAGCCAGGAUUAAGAAUGAUUGGUUUAAGAUAUUUUGAAUUGAGUCUUCUGUUACUUGCAGCCAAUAACAUUCCAACCAGUGGCCUCAGGCAAUGUGCAUAAGUCUUCAAGAGGAUGGGAUAACGGGUGGAGACACUGUGGGAGUCAGGAGGAAGAGCUUUAACUCCUACCAGAGCAUAGUUAAUUCAGAGGGUUUGGCUCAAAUAUUCGUGCUUUCCAUUUUUGGAACAGGACAAGGCUCCAGCCUUAUUAGUUGGCAAGGGAGAAGCUGUAGCAUUGUGUGGGAAGAUGCUUUAUAAAGAUGCUGAUGCAUUGGCAGACACAUUGAGACCUCAUUCCAGGGAGUACACUCCAGAAGUAACUUUGUGUAGCCUUAAGCUACUGUGACUGAUGAUAAUGGACUGGAUUAUUCACGUGGGCUGAGGGAAAUUAAAGAGUAAGAACCACUACCAAAUUUGUGCCUUGCCUAUAGCAUGUGUGGAAGAUUUAACAGCAUCCAUGAGGUAGGAGCUUCAUUCCUACCUGCAUUUUGUGUCCCUGUGUGUGCUUUUUCUUUUUCUCACUAAUUCCUUAAUCCUGCCUUGCUGUGCUGGUUGUUGACCUUGUCCCUCAGUUCUAAGCCCACCUUUCUGUAUUGUGCUCUGGGAUACUGGGGCUGGGGUUCUGAAAACUCUAUUUUCCGGACUCCCUUGCCAAACUUGUUAGGUUCUACCCAUGGGAGGCGCUAAAUGGAGACUGGAAAGCAGAAGGAGAGGAGAAGAGAAUUUUCCUCUUCCCAGUUUCUAUUAGUGUUCCUAGUAGCAGCAGAAGUUAUGGCUUCAAUAUGUUUCAACACUUCCAGCACCAGCUUCACCAUGCUCCAUUAGAAGUACCAGAAGCAGCCACACUUCCUUAUCCAAUGGGCCAUGUUCUCCAGGCCUUCCAGACAUCUUCUAGGUCAGACCUCCUGCUUAGAGAUCUGAACACCAGCCACAGGGUGCCCUCCUCCUCAGAAACCCAAAUAUCUACUGUGGAAGGGGCACCACGGCAUGCCAACCAGUCUUGUGGAGGGCCCUGCUCUAAGCUCCCAAGUUCUUACAGCACGAUUUUCUCCCUUUUAUUCCUCUGGGGGUUGUCACUACUUCCUUCAGUUACUAAUCUCUAGGUUACCUUGGUAUCCUUUUUAUUCUUCCAGCCUUCCAACACCUUUGUAAACAAUUGCUUGAGUUAAAUCCCCUCUGUUUAAAAUACCUGGUGGGAUGGUUAAUUUUAUGGGUCAACUUGACUGGCCUAAGGGACGCCUAGAUAGCUGGUAAAACAUUAUUUCUGGGUGUAUCUGUGUGGGUGUUUCUGGAAGAGACUAGCAUUUGAUUCAGUAGACUGAGUGAAGAGAUUGUCCCUCACCAGUGUGGGUGGCCAACAUCCAAUCCACUGGGGGCCUGAACGGGACAAAAAGGUGAAGAAAGGGUGAAUUCUUUCUGUCCUCUUGAGCUGGGAUGUCCAUUUUCUCCUGCUCUCAGAUAUCAAAGCUCCUAGUUCUUGGGCCUUUGCACUCCAGGACAUGUAGAGGUGGCCCCUGGUUCUCAGGUCUUUGGACUCAGAAUUACACCACCGGCUUUCCUGGUUCUCCAGAUUGUGGAUGGGACUUCUCAGCCUCCAUAACCACAUGAACUAAUUUCUAUUGAAAUCUCCUUUUAUCUGUCUAUCUAAUUAUCAUCUAUCUACUUAUCUAUCUAUCACCUAUUUUUAUCCUAUUGUUUCUGUUUCUCUGGAGAAUCCUGAUUAAUAUACCUGGUGUGGUUUAUAUUUUCUUUUCUUACUUACUACAUUUUACAUUUACCCAUAAAGUCAUCUAAAAUCAAUUUGCAAACAGAAGGCAGGGUACAACCAGAUAAAUAAGGAAAUAAAAACAAAUGAUGUGACUUCCUGGGAGCUCAAUGCUCCCUUCACACUGUGCAGAACUAGAAAGAAUGAAAGUCAUGGUGACCUGAUUUUCUAAUCAAACAAACUGGAAUGUGGAGUCUGGUUUAUACUUAGCUCUGGUGGGAGAUAAAGCCCUUCCUCCUGAUCACCAUAGUGGCUGCAUCCAUGAUGCCAUCUUCCUCAAGACAGAUACAGAUUGCCUGAGGCCAUUUGCAUUUGUUCGGAUGCUAUUGGCUGCAAGUAACAGAAGACCCAACUGAAAAUAGCUUAAACCAACAGGGAAUAUCUAAAAUUGGUAUCACUCUAGAAAAUCUAGGGCAUAUAGUUGCCACUGGAUCAGGCAUUAGGAAAUGUGGCUCUCCUAACAUUAUAUGUGGCUCUCCUAAUUCAUUGUAUGAAUGUGAGAGUGUACAGACCGAGAGUGACCAAGGGUAGGAGCAACUAAAACCAUGAGAGCAGAUAAUGAGGGUUUGGUGAGAGUGAAUUGAAAGCAGCCCAAUCCUGACAUGAAGGAAAAAGUGGGGAGACCAAGGACACUGGCCCAGUGACGCAACGGUUAAGUUUACACAUUCUGCUUUGGCAGCCUGGGGUUUGCCGGUUCGGAUCCCAGGUGCAGACCUGUAUACCGCUUGUCAAGCCAUGUUGUGGCAGGCGUCCCACACACAAAGCAGAGGAAGAUGGGCACGGAUGUUAGCUCAGGGCCAGUCUUCCUCAGCAAAAAAGGGGAGGAUUGGCAGCAGAUGUUAGCUCAGGGCUAAUCUUCCUCAAAACCAACCAACCAACCAAACAAACAAUAGUGGGGAAACCAAGGAAGCUAGUGGAAAUCUGUAGCAAAAUCCUGCUGAUAAUGGUAUUGAGUACUUUUAAUAAAAAAAAAAGUUGUGUCCAUUAACUCAUAAAAUUUGCUUGAAAUCUGAUACCUUCCAAAAGAAUAGCUGUCUCAGCGUACAGGUUCCAAGUGGACAAAGGAAGAUCCAGGAGAUGAAGUGGAUGUCAGGGACAAGAGCUGCAACUGAGACACCGACCAAGCCCCAGGCUGCUGAACCAUCACGUUCCUGGGAGGAGAAAUUAGAGUUCAAAUCUCAAAUGACUUUUGUAGAGUUGACUUAGAAGCCCUUAGCUGGAGGGCAGGAGGUACGUCUUUGUCAUCUUUGUAUCCCCAGCACCUAUCACAAUGCUUGGCACAGAGAGGAGCCCAAAGAAAGCCUUUUGAAUGAACGGAUCCCUAAUUAGUUUUGUAUGUUAAAUUCAAACCUUUAGUUCAUUGAGCUAAUACCCACCAUGUGCGAGACAGUCUGCAGUUAGAAGUUUGUUCCUCUGAUUAAGCCAUCCUCAAUCCACCCUAAUACUUCUCUCCCUCUGAUUUUCUCCUUAGCACUUACCCUACCUAACUGAUCCCUUAAAGCAUACUAUAUGUUUUACUUACUGGUGGUUAUUGUCUUUCCACUAGAAUGUAAGACCUAUGAAAGUGGGAAUUUUGUCUGUUUUCCUCAUUACUUGUGGCAGCUGUGAUAAUGUCUCUCUCUGAUCUCUGACUACAAGAAGUGUAAGUGACCGAAGGCCCAGCUGCUGUGCUCUGAAAUCCAUCAUGACAUUUGCACCAAGGCCGUGCUUCCUGGGGUGCUCUCAGUCACUGACCAAGUAUGGCAUGGAUGCUAAGGCCAGGCUGUUCCUGGGAGAUGCAGGACUCCUCUGGUGAGUGACUUUGGCUUGAGGACUCAGGAAUGACCUUGCCAAACCCUCUUAGAAUUGCGCUCAGUCUAAGCUGCUUCCACUCAAUCCUCCUUCCUUCCUGCAUUAGGGUUCUCCGGAGAAACAGAGCCAACAGGAUAUGCAUGUGGGUCUAUACAUAUACAUAUGUAUAUACACACACACACAUAUAUAUGCACACACAUGUAUGUAUGUAUAUGUAGGUGUGUAUAUAUAUGGAGAGAGAGAGAGACGAGGAGAGAGAAAAGGAUUGAGAAAGAGAGAUUGGUUUAUUUUAAGGAAUUGGUUCAUGUGAUUAUGGAAGCUUGGUAUGCCCAAAAUCUGCAAGGUAGGCCAAUAGGCUGGAGACCCAGGGAAGAGUUGCAGUUCGAGACCAAAGGCAGGAAUCCCUCUUCCUUGGGUGGACUGUCAGUCUUUUUCUCUUAGGGCCUUCAAACGAUUGGAUGUGAGGCCCACCCACAAUAUGGAGGGUAAUCCACUUUGCUCAAAGUCUACUGAUUUACAUUUAAGUGUUAAUCUUAUUUAAAAACAUAUCUUCACAGAAACAUCUAGAGUAAUGUUUGACCAAAUAUCAGGGUACCGUGACCCAGCCAAAUUGAUUCAUAAAAUUAACCAUCACAAUUUCCUCUCUCUUUCACCCAGGAUCAGACUUGCAUUGAGGUCUGAUGGCUCUCCCAGCCUCCCAUGGGAUCCCUCCCCAUUCUCCCUCACAGGUGUCCUAAUAAAACUUUUGCACAACUAACCUUGAUUUGGCAUCUACUUCUCAAAAGACUCAGACUAACACAUUACUCUGUCUCCAGUAGCUGGCCUAUAGUGCAUGCUCAAUAAAUAUUUGCUAAAUGAAUUAAUGGAUGUGAGAACAAUUUGGCUUUGACACGUGAUACUCCAUGAUUACUGGUGUUGAUUCAUCUGAUGUGGGUGGCAGGAGGCUGUCCCCUUCCUCAUUCUCAUUUCCUUGACUCCUCUUUUGAAAUCUUAAGAUGAAAGAGAAUGAUCUAUCCAGAUGGAAGAAAACCGCACUUUAGUCAAGAGUAUAUGAAUGCAUAUGCUUUUUAACCUAAAAUCUCUAAGCUUUCAAAGAAUCUCUUUUUCUUUGAAAUCUCAUUAUAAGAAUAUGAAUCAGGCUAUUUAUCAAUUGAUCACCUGGCCAUCACCUGAUGAUCACCUGGCCAUGAUGCUGUCCCAAGAGGAAUAGACUGUUGCUAACUGGACCUGCUUGCAUCCCUGACUAGUGGGCAGAGGAAGCGGGAUUAUAAACAUGGGACACUAAUCAGAGGCAGGCCUGCUCUGGGAUGCAAGUUUCAAGAGGAAAAGAACCACAUGUCAUGAACUUCUGGGCACCCUGACCAUUUAUAGAGAAGUCAAAUGAGAUUUAAAUGUACAGAAAGAAUGGCCCCUAACAAGAAGAGAAGUCAGAAGAGAGGCAAAAAGAAACUUAAGGAGCAUUGUGGAAGAGCUGAGGAGGAGUCACUCUUGUCUCCAUCAUAGGUGAGGUUGAUAAGUGUUGGUAAUGAUGUGACGCGAGCCUCACGCACUUUUCACAUUCUUAUGUCAAUGGAUUAAGCCAUGCCCCAGGAUUCUCCUAUUGCUAAGAAGGGUGGCUUCCCUGGAUAUGCCUUCAGGGAGGGAGACCCUGCAAAGUGCAGGUCCUGGGGCAAGUGCUGUGAUUCGCUGGUCCUCCCUUUUUGUCCUCCUCUUGUCCUUUCUGCCAGCAGGAUUCUGACCUCCCAGCAUCUUCGUCUGCUGUUGGUGGAACACCAUCUGCCGCGAAUGUAGCUGUCUCUCCACUAGAUAGUCUUUCACCUUUUGAAGCCUAGACAGGUUUCCAUCCAGCUCAACUCAAAUCAAGCUCUCCAAGUAGUCCCUUUGAAGCCACUGCCACUGGAUGGAGCAGCAGGAGAAAGGACUUGCUGUCCUCUGUCCUCCAGCUGCCCAGGACUUCUGCUGAAGACAGGGCAGAGCUACAACAGCCGGAGUGACUCUGGGAAACCCUCUCUGUACUCCAAGCAAGGAUGGUCCAGACUCCAGUGAGGAUGCCUUGGACAUGUGGGUGGGGCCGUCCUCAUGGGUAUGUGACCUGUGUAGUUGUAUAGAGCCUGUGUUCAGAAGAGACCCAUGCUUGGUCUAAUUCUCUGCUGUUACUGUCUUUAAAUUUUUAAUAAUGUUAUCUUUGAAUCUGUUCUUUGUACAUGAAAUGUGAUGGGACAAUGGAGCAUGCACAUGAACAGAGGAGAUACACGCAAUAUUCCUGUCUCCCACUCUCUGAUGCCUCUUUGCAUAUAGAAUUUGUGAUGUCCCCUGAACACAGAAUUUUGGUGGACUCACGAUGUGUGGGAAUUCAGAGACACUCAAAGUGAGUACAAGGAAGCAUGUUAUGUCUACGAUUGAGUGGGUGGGGGCACUGAGUGCCCCGAGAGGUCAUACCUUCCAGUCAAACCAGAACUUGCUUUGAAUGUAGAAAGAAGGCAAUGACAUUCUAAGAAACGCUAAUGACCAAGGGACUCCAUCCUAUUGUGGUCGGCAGAAUAACAGCCCCCAAAGAUGUCCACACCCCAAUCCUUGGAUCCUGUGAAUACGUUGCCUGACACGGCAAAAGCGACUUUGCAGAUGUGAUUAAGGCUAAGGUCUUAAGAUAGGGAGGUUACCCUGGAUGAUCUGAGUGAGUCCUUAAUCACAUGAGCCCUUAAAAGCAGAGAACUUUCUCCAACUGGAGUUGGAGAGGUGCAGUAGAAGUCAGAGGGAUUCAAAGCGAGAAGGAUUUGACCUACUAUGUCUAGCUUUGAAUAUGGAAGAAUAUGAACCAAGGAAUGCUGGGAACCGAGAAUGACGUAUGGCUGAAGGUAAGCAAGAAAUUGCGGGCCUCAGUCCUAUAAGGACGUAGAACUGAAUUCUUCCAGCUAUCUGAACAGUCUUGGAAGCAGAGCAUCCUCAGAGCCUGGAGAAAGGAACACAGCAUUGCUGACAUCUUUUUUGAGGAAGAUUAGCCCUGAGCUAACUACUGCAAUCCUCUUCUUUUUCCUGAGGAAGCCUGGCCCUGAGCUAACAUCCGUGCCCAUCUUCCUCUACUUUACAUGUGGGAUGCCUACCACAGCAUGGCUUGACAAGUGGUGCCAUGUCCGCACCCGGGAUUCCAACCAGCAAACCCCGGGACUCUGAAGCAGAACGUGUGAACUUAACCACUGCGCCACCGGGCCGGCCGUUUUUUCUUUUUUUUAAAGAUUGGCACCUGAGCAAACAUCUGUUGCCAAUCUUCUUUUUUUUUUUUUUCUCCUUCUUCUUCUUCUCCCCAAAGCCCUCUAGUACAUAGUUGUAGGUCCUUCUGGUUCUGUUACAUGGGACGCUGCCUCUGCAUGGCUUGAUGAGCAGUGCUAGGUCCACGACCAGGAUCGGAACUGGUGAAACCCUGGGCUGCCAAAGCGGAGCACAUUAACUUAGCCACUCAGCCAUGGGGCCAGUCCCCAAACAUCUUGAUUACAGUCUUGUGAGACUCUAAGCAGAGGACCCAGUUGAACCACACUGUACUUGGACUUCUGACAUACAGCCCAUGUUAUAAUAUAUGAGUGUUGUUUUUAGGCACUAAGUUUGUGGUGAUUUGUUAUAGAAGCAAGAGAAAAUAGCCAGUCACUUACAUAGAAAAUGAUGACACAGAAGGAAAGGGAAAGAUGGAGAAAUCCAUGGUUUCUUUUCUGAGUCUUUCCUUACCUGUAAUUAUAAGUAAGCUAAAGGUAGAAAGUGCUGGUAGAAUGUGCACGUAUCAAGAAG